rnacentral:sRNA from 1 species
ACCUGGUGCAGUGGUGUGCACCUGUAGUCCCUGAUACUUGAGUGGCUGAGGCAGAAGGAGCACUUGAGCCCAGGAGUUCAAGGUCAGCCUGAGCAACAUAGAAAGACCCUGUCUUAA